AACAAAACAAAAUAAAUUCUAUAAAUAGGAUGGAUGGAUGGAAAUUGGACCAAUCAUUCAAUCGAUCGAUUCAAUAGACAAAUAUUUCGGUCAAUGGAUGACCAGAUGACCAGAUGAUUGUGUGUGUCACACACAAAGAUGAAUUUAUCGAUUGAAGACAAAAAAAAAUUGAUAAAGAUCAAAAUAAUCAUCACAUAUCUACCUGAAUCAAUCACAAUUACGUUUUUAAUCAAAAAAAAAAUCACACCAUUUUGUGGUCAUUAAUGAUGAUGACAUUUUCUGGUUUUUCAUUACGUCGUAUUAUUAUUAUAUAUAUUUAUGGUCGGUCGGUUGAUUUGGUAACACAAUCAUUUGGCAAUUAAAUUCAAAAUUUCAAAACAAAAAAAUUUUUAUUAUCAUCCUGUUAUGACAUUCAAUAAAACCGAAAACAAAAAAAAAAAAAUCAAAUGAUGGCUAUGGAUAAUCAUCAUCAUCAUCAUCAUCAUCAAUGGAUCAUUGGAUCACAUAGAUACGCUCAUUGUUAUAAAUGUGUUUUGGCGGUUUUUUUUUGUUACAUAUCGCUCAAUUCUCAAUCAUUUCAUCUGUGUGUAAUAUAUAAUUUCAAAUGGGGCGUUUGUGAUUUAUCAAAAAAAAUUUUUUUUUCUAAAGU